GGUUGUAUAGUGUAGCGGUUAUCACUCCAGAUUUUGAUCAUAUUCAAACUUCUGGUAACCCCGGUUCGAACCCGGGUACGACCU